rnacentral:rRNA from 1 species
UUGGAGGGCAAGUCUGGUGCCAGCAGCCGCGGUAAUUCCAGCUCCAAUAGCGUAUAUUAAAGUUGUUGCAGUUAAAAAGCUCGUAGUUGAAUUUCGGGAUCAGUUGGUCGGUCGUGCCUCGGUACGUACUGGUCAAAUUGAUUCCUACCUUCUGACGAACCACGAUGUCAUUAAUUUGGUGUCGCGGGAAAUCAGGACUGUUACUUUGAAAAAAUUAGAGUGUUUAAAGCAGGCUCGCGCUUGAAUACAUUAGCAUGGAAUAAUGAAAUAGGACGUUUGAUUCUAUUUUGUUGGUUUCUAGGAUCGACGUAAUGAUUAAUAGGGAUAGUUGGGGGCAUUAGUAUUCAAUUGUCAGAGGUGAAAUUCCUGGAUUCAUUGAAGACUAACUACUGCGAAAGCAUUUGCCAAGGAUGUUUUCAUUAAUCAAGAACGAAAGUUAGGGGAUCGAAGACGAUCAGAUACCGUCGUAGUCUUAACCAUAAACUAUGCCGACUAGGGAUCGGAUGAUGUUAAUUUUUUAAUGACUCAUUCGGCGCCUUACGGGAAACCAAAGUGUUUGGGUUC